rnacentral:misc_RNA from 1 species
UCUCCGUAGGUGAACCUGCGGAGGGAUCACUACAGGCUUGCAAAGGCUCUGAAACCAUUGUUUAUCUACCAACACCUGCUUCGACGGGCGGCCCCCGGGCAGGGGCGUAGCCGCAAGGCGCUCGCCGAAGACUCCUAAACUCUGUCGUCUAGAGAAUCUCUGAGGAAUUAUAGUAAAGAAAAACAACUUUCAACAACGGAUCUCUUGGCUCUG